rnacentral:rRNA from 1 species
ACGGAAGGCAGCAGUGAGGAAUAUUGGUCAAUGGUCGGAAGACUGAACCAGCCAUGCCGCGUGAAGGAUUAAGGUCCUAUGGAUUGUAAACUUCUUUUGUAUGAGAGCAAUAAGGUGUACGUGUACACCGAUGAGAGUAUCAUACGAAUAAGCAUCGGCUAACCCCGUGCCAGCAGCCGCGGUAAUACGGAGGAUGCAAGCGUUAUCCGGAUUUAUUGGGUUUAAAGGGUGCGUAGGCGGUAUUGUAAGUCAGCGGUGAAAUGUCCAUGCUUAACAUGGAACCUGCCGUUGAUACUGCAGUACUAGAAUUCGGAUGCCGUGGGAGGAAUGUGUAGUGUAGCGGUGAAAUGCUUAGAUAUUACACAGAACACCGAUUACGAAGGCAUCUCACGAAUCCGACAUUGACGCUGAGGCACGAAAGUGUGGGGAUCAAACAGGAUUAGAUACCCUGGUA